AGCGAACAAGCGUACACGGUGGAUGCCCUGGCAGUCAGAGGCGAUGAAGGACGUGCUAAUCUGCGAAAAGCGCCGGUAAGGUGAUAUGAACCGUUAUAACCGGCGAUGUCCGAAUGGGGAAACCCGGUGCACUUCGGUGCAUCAUCGUUUGAUGAAUACAUAGUCAAACGAGGCGAACCGGGGGAACUGAAACAUCUAAGUACCCCGAGGAAAAGAAAUCAACCGAGAUUCCCCCAGUAGCGGCGAGCGAACGGGGAACAGCCCAGAGCCUGAAUCAGCGUGUGUGUCAGUGGAACGGUCUGGAAAGGCCGGCGAUACAGGGUGACAGCCCCGUACACGAAGGCACACAGGUUGUGAGCUCGAUGAGUAGGGCGGGACACGUGAUAUCCUGUCUGAAGAUGGGGGGACCAUCCUCCAAGGCUAAAUACUCCUGACUGACCGAUAGUGAACCAGUACCGUGAGGGAAAGGCGAAAAGAACCCCGGCGAGGGGAGUGAAACAGAACCUGAAACCGUGUACGUACAAGCAGUGGGAGCCUUCGUAAGAGGGUGACUGCGUACCUUUUGUAUAAUGGGUCAGCGACUUAUAUUCUGUAGCAAGGUUAACCGCAUAGGGGAGCCGAAGGGAAACCG
rnacentral:rRNA from 1 species